ACGUAUUGUAUCUUGUCUGAACUGUGUAACUCUCAUCUAAAAUGUUUAAUUAGCUUCUCUCGCCUGUGUCAAUAUUGUUCUGUUGUAUUGGCCAUACGGCCUCCCUCUGGUAGGUGCAAUUUCCAGGUAAAUCAUUAGCAGGUUUUGGACACGGGCUUUCGCAGUAGCGUAGUGAAUAUGGAUGUUGUGCAGCUGCUGUUCGUGCCUAGAUCAAAGUCAUCAGUGGAAGCGCUGCAGAGUAAGAGCUGUGUUUUAACAGGAGCGAGUAAGAGGGGCUCCUCAGGGGGAAGGUGGGUAUGGUUCAUGGAGUGGUUUGGCCACCUCAUGUGGGCUGCUCUGAUCCCUGCAGCUUCUGGAGCCAGAAACAAGGUUUUUCACGUUUCACACACACACCUGCAUCUUCCGUGAUGUUAAAGGCACUGCAGUUACAGCUGGGGCUUGUUUGGCUCCAUGAGUGCCGUGGUCAGGAACACUUCCUUUGGUUGGGGCCUGCUGCUUAGGAAAAUAAGGUCUUUGGAUAGGAGAAGCCAUGCAAACGUGAGGUAGAAGCACCCCUUCCUUGCUGUCCUCACGCUUGUUUCGUGAGGAAGAGCAGAAAGGAGCAGCUGCAGGCAGAGGGGCUGACCAAUGCCGAGCUGUGUGGUGGGCUUCGCCGUCAGCACCAAGAGUUUGGCCAUUUCCACCUUCACUGGAGAAUGGUGGACAGAAAUGUGAAAGUUACUUUGGUUAUAACAUUUCAGUUCCUCUUUCUGGGGGUGUCAGUACCACAUUGAGCAGGGGCCGGGGAGUACCUGGCAGCUGCGUGGCUGCCCUCGGUCAGAGGAAGCUGAGGGCCGGAGCGGGACGGGGACAGCCGGUCCUGGGCAUCGGCACCAGCACAGCCCUGUGCGGGGCCUGUCGUGGUGACUCGGCACGUGCAACAUGCAGCAGAACAGGACUUUUCAUUGGACUUUGGGAACAGCUAGGGAUCAUCAGUCUGCUUUUCUCUGAACGAAAGCCCAUUCUGCUUCACUCCAUUGACCUGUAGUUCUGGAGAUGGAACUAAUUCAGGAACAGAGCUGGCUCAGUAUGAUCUCUUUUAAAAUGGAUGUUUCUCAGUUUAUGAGAUCUUCAUCUUCUUGCAAUCAUCUAACCCAGCUGACUGCAUUGUUCAAGAUACGGUGAUUCUAACGUGAUUUCAGCCUAUCUCUGGAGACUAGUUUGGCAGAUAAGUUAUAAUAUCGUGGUUUCUUUCUACUGUUUAUAUUCUAAGCAGAAGAAUUUAGGAAUUUCACCUCAAGGUAAAGUUUCACAAAACAACAAGGGUUACGGAUGAAUUUAAAUGGAUGAUGGUGUGUACCAAUCUAUUGGAUUUUUUACAAUAACUACUGAAACUGAUCUUAUGGCUUUAUUACAAAGAAUAGGAGGUGUCUUAUGUCAACAGUUGGCUCUAGGAAGUUUUGGUGGUUUCUGUUUUUGUUGUUGUUGUUGGACAACAUAAAGCAGCACUUUGUGGCUGGAGAACAUCCAGAAAGUUAAGUAGGUUGUUUAUAUUUACAAAAUAUAUUUAAAAACAGGAUUUUGUUGAUGUAGACAAUACCAGGUGAAGACUGGCAAUGAAAAACUUAUCGUUAGUUUGAGUAGAAAAUUUUGGUUUGAUGGCAUUUUUGUGAUCAUGUGACAGGAGAGGAACUUAUUGUAGACAAUACAAGGCAAAGGGAAAGCAUUUCUUUGAGUGAAGAACAUUUCUUUUCUAGAAAACUUGUGUUGGGUCCUACAGCUCUUUUCUCACCUCUUCUGGAGACAAAUGUAUGUGACUUCUGCUCCGGAUCUGGUCGUUUAGCAAUUAUUAAUGCUUCGGCAGGCAGUAGUAGCCUUGGUACUAAUAGGUAAUCAGUACAUCUUCGGCCACUGGAGAGCAUGACAGCUCAAAUUAAAGAAGUGAGUUAAUUCUAAUCAUUGUAUGUUAGGACAUGAAAAUACUGUGGCUUAUUUCUUCUGAACACUAUUCCUUUUCUCUCCUUAGAAAUAAUGUCAGGUGGUGUACAUAAUCUGAUGCUUUCUUGUUUAACAAUUGUAUUUUUCAAA
rnacentral:lncRNA from 1 species